CCGGCGCACGGGUGCGUAACGCGUAUGCAAUCUACCCUUUACUGGAGAAUAGCCCGGAGAAAUUCGGAUUAAUGCCCCAUAUGCUCGUAGGAUCUCCUGAUCCAGCGAGGAAAGCUCCGGCGGUAAAGGAUGAGCAUGCGUCCCAUUAGCUUGUUGGUGAGGUAACGGCUCACCAAGGCGACGAUGGGUAGGGGGCCUGAGAGGGCGAUCCCCCACACUGGUACUGAGACACGGACCAGACUCCUACGGGAGGCAGCAGUGAGGAAUAUUGGGCAAUGGAGGCAACUCUGACCCAGCCAUGCCGCGUGCAGGAAGACGGUCCUCUGGAUUGUAAACUGCUUUUAUUAGGGAAUAAACCCUCCUACGUGUAGGAGGCUGAAGGUACCUGAUGAAUAAGCAUCGGCUAACUCCGUGCCAGCAGCCGCGGUAAUACGGAGGAUGCAAGCGUUAUCCGGAUUUAUUGGGUUUAAAGGGUCCGUAGGCGGGUAUUUAAGUCAGUGGUGAAAGCCCACAGCUCAACUGUGGAACUGCCAUUGAUACUGGAUGUCUUGAGUAUAGUAGAAGUAGGCGGAAUAGGGCAUGUAGCGGUGAAAUGCAUAGAUAUGCCCUAGAACACCGAUUGCGAAGGCAGCUUACUAUGUUAUAACUGACGCUGAGGGACGAAAGCGUGGGGAGCAAACAGGAUUAGAUACCCUGGUAGUCCACGCCGUAAACGAUGAUUACUCGCUGCUGGCGAUAUACAGUCAGUGGCCAAGCGAAAGCAUUAAGUAAUCCACCUGGGGAGUACGCCGGCAACGGUGAAA
rnacentral:rRNA from 1 species